UUGGUUUGCACAUACACAAUGACUGUCAAUGACACCAUCAUUGCAAAAGUGUAAGUGAAAACAUACCAAUUGAAGAAACUGUUGAUUCCUUUCUUCCCAGCUUCUGUAUUUGGAUUGAACUGAUCAGCUCCAAAAGCCAAAUUACAUGGUCGAAUGCCACCAGCUCCAAUUAUCAUAAGGCCAAAUCCAACCAUCAGAAAAG
rnacentral:misc_RNA from 1 species